GAUGAACGCUAGCGGCAGGCUUAAUACAUGCAAGUCGAGGGACAGCACAGGUAGCAAUACUGGGUGGUAACCGGCAAACGGGUGCGGAACACGUACACAACCUUCCUUUAAGUGGGGGAUAGCCCAGAGAAAUUUGGAUUAAUACCCCGUAAUAUAGUUGAAUGGCAUCAUUUGAUUAUUAUAGCUACGGCGCUUAAUGAUGGGUGUGCGGCUGAUUAGAUAGUUGGCGGGGUAACGGCCCACCAAGUCUACGAUCAGUAGCUGAUGUGAGAGCAUGAUCAGCCACACGGGCACUGAGACACGGGCCCGACUCCUACGGGAGGCAGCAGUAAGGAAUAUUGGUCAAUGGACGCAAGUCUGAACCAGCCGUGCCGCGUGAAGGAUUAAGGUCCUCUGGAUUGUAAACUUCCUUUAUUUGGGACGAAAAAGGGCCUUUCUAGGUCAACUGACGGUACCAGAUGAAUAAGCACCGGCUAACUCCGUGCCAGCCGCCGCAGUAAUAC
rnacentral:rRNA from 1 species